rnacentral:rRNA from 1 species
UACAGAGGGGGCGAGCGUUGUUCGGAAUUACUGGGCGUAAAGGGCGCGUAGGCGGCCUCUUAAGUCGAACGUGAAAUCCCCGGGCUCAACCCGGGAACUGCGUCCGAUACUGGGGGGCUUGAAUCCGGGAGAGGGAUGUGGAAUUCCAGGUGUAGCGGUGAAAUGCGUAGAUAUCUGGAGGAACACCGGUGGCGAAGGCGGGUCUCUGGGCAGUAACUGACGCUGAGGAGCGAAAGCGUGGGGAGCGAACAGG